CCCUAUUCUGAUAAACAGCCCUGAAAUACAGAGCUGGCAGUGGGCCAGCUGUUAUCCUUCACUUCCUUCCUCCCUGAUAGGAAACAUCAAGACACCUUAGAACACGUUACUUAUGAACCAUGAUAAUGAUAUGGCUGCUUUUGUAGAGAGUGAAAACACCAAAUACAGCUACUACCUCGAUUGGUUUUGCAGUUCUUCUUGACGUAUCAGACAUGACAAAACACCAACUACAAAAUAGUCUUGUGAGUAUCUUGGCGUGAAGGCUGAUCAUUCAGACAUGUCUAUAUUACCACAUGAUACAUUCAGCAGUACAUGGUCAACACAUUCAGCAGUACAUGGUCAACACAUUCAUCAGUACGUGGUCAACACAAACAGUACGUGGUCAACACAUUCAUCAGUACGUGGUCAACACAUUCAUCAGGAUAUGGUCAACACAUUCAUCAGUACAUGGUCAACACAUUCAUCAGUACAUGGUCAACACAUUCAUCAGGAUAUGGUCAACACAAACAGUACAUGGUCAACACAUUCAGCAGUAUAUGGUCAACACAAACAGUACAUGGUCAACACAUUCAUCAGGAUAUGGUCAACACAAACAGUACAUGGUCAACACAUUCAUCAGUACCUGGUCAACACAUUCAGCAGUACAUGGUCAACACAUUCAUCAGGAUAUGGUCAACACAUUCAGCAGUACCUGGUCAACACAUUCAGCAGUACCUUCUCAAAACCAAAAUGAACAUGUAGAAACAAAAAACAUGCCAAUAAAUAACCAGUUAUCUAAAAGGCAAUGCAUUUUGGGAAGUUGACCCUCAGACAAGGCCUUAGUGUUUCCAGUUCCCCCUUCUAGUAUCAACUAAACUCUCUAACAGGCUGACCACACCACACGCGUCGCGUGUGCGAGCAUUGCAAAAUAAAUGUAGAAAUCUAUAUAGGUUUCGCUUCCCUAUUCUGAUAAACAGCCCUGAAAUACAGAGCUGGCAGUGGGCCAGCUGUUAUCCUUCACUUCCUUCCUCCCUGAUAGGAAACAUCAAGACACCUUAGAACACGUUACUUAUGAACCAUGAUAAUGAUAUGGCUGCUUUUGUAGAGAGUGAAAACACCAAAUACAGCUACUACCUCGAUUGGUUUUGCAGUUCUUCUUGACGUAUCAGACAUGACAAAACACCAACUACAAAAUAGUCUUGUGAGUAUCUUGGCGUGAAGGCUGAUCAUUCAGACAUGUCUAUAUUACCACAUGAUACAUUCAGCAGUACAUGGUCAACACAUUCAUCAGGAUAUGGUCAACACAUUCAUCAGUACAUGGUCAACACAAACAGUACAUGGUCAACACAAACAGUACAUGGUCAACACAUUCAUCAGUACAUGGUCAACACAUUCAUCAGGAUAUGGUCAACACAUUCAUCAGGAUAUGGUCAACACAUUCAUCAGUACGUGGUCAACACAAACAGUACAUGGUCAACACAUUCAGCAGUACAUGGUCAACACAUUCAUCAGGAUAUGGUCAACACAAACAGUACAUGGUCAACACNNNNNNNNNNCUGUUCCUGGGCCUUCAUUCUGCCCCUGAACAGGGCAGUUAACCCACUGUUCCUGGGCCUUCAUUCUGCCCCUGAACAAGGCAGUUAACCCACUGUUCCUGGGCCGUCAUUCUGCCCCUGAACAAGGCAGUUAACCCACUGUUCCUGGGCCGUCAUUGAAAAUAAGAAUUUGUUCUUAACUGACUUGCCUAGUUAAAUAAAGGUUAAAAAAAUGUUACUGAGUGAUAGACUUACCAGGACAGAGACUGAGGGCAAACUUUGUCUGGAAGUCACAGGCAUCACUGUCCAGGUACUCAUCAGAUAUCACCACGACCAUCCUUUUACACCUA
rnacentral:lncRNA from 13 species